rnacentral:lncRNA from 1 species
GUAGGGUUAGAUUAUGCACACUGCUCAUCUGCUGCAUGCUGCUGGGCACACUGCAGUUGGCUGAUCUGCAAGUCUAUCUGUGUGCCCUGUUGAGAGAGGUUCCUACUGUCUCUGGAAGAAAACAAGUUUGUCCAAGGAACAGCAGCUGCCUUUGGAGUAUGGAAAACCACAGAAGAAACUGGAACUGUCUAUGAAAGUCAAACCACCCACCUCUUCAAACACUUGGGGCUACAGGUGACCUUCCAGGCUUUGCUGUUACACCAUUUCAGGAGCCCUCCUUCCCUCUGGGGCUGCCUCUGCUUGAAAGCAGAGGAGGCCUGUCGUGUUGCCAAAUCCAUUGCUGCAGACCUCUUGGUUCCCCAAGAGAAGGGGUAAAGGCUCUUUUUGAUCCCACUGCACAUCUCUGGGCUCUGCUGACCUCCCGACAUGGAGAGCACUGUGAGGAGGAAGAGGACUCAGCACGUGACUAGACUUUGCAGCCAGCUCUGGACCACAAGCUCCUUGCCCCAGAUACAUGCUAGACUCUUGCUGAUAUCCUUUGCCAUAUGGGACGUGCAUGGUGCUGCUUCCUCCUGGCUGCCACUCAUGGGGUUCUGCUCCGGCUCCGAAGCUCCGUGUGUGGGAACUGCUCCUGGCUGGGGCUCAUCUCUGUCUGCAGGAGCUGCUCGGCCUCUUUCAGCACAUCCCAGUCUGCUUGGAGCAAGCAUCUCUUCUCCAGAGACAGACAGAAGUUGCAUUCAGCUGAGAGCCGGAGGCUUCUCUCGGUACAAAUCGCCCUGCAAUGCUGCUGUGUCGGGAUGGAGAAAGGCAGAUCUGCAGCCGGACUGCAGAGGCAGCUCAGUGACCCAGUGCUGCCCCAGGCAUGCAAUGGGUGAGGUCUGGGGUCCCCUUUGGGCUAAGGGGAAUUGCGUGGGUUUGCAUUUCUCAGCCCUGCUGUGGACUUAG